AGGGCGUUCGACCAGUUGGUAGGUCUGCAGUCUCCAAAACUGUUAGUCGGUGGUUCGAGUCCAUCACGUCCUG
rnacentral:tRNA from 1 species